ACUCCAGGCGUUCUUCCCUUACCUGCCGAAUGUCCCUAGGAGGUCAUAUACCAGUUAAACUGCCCCAUUUUGCCUCUUAGUGUACAUUGUGAGCCCACUCAACCAGUUCCUGAGAUACUACUGGGAAGCUGCUGAUCACCAGUUUCAGGUUUUUUCCAUCUGUUGGGAAACUGCCUAUCCCUUGUGCUCGCUGCAACCAAUUAUUAUUUUAGGGAGACAGUUAACCGCCUGACCAUCACCCGAUGAUCGCCUGAUGUUCAUGCAUCCAUGACUACAUAAACUUUUUGGCCGUUUGACCAAAUGGGGACAUCUGGCAUACUGCUAUCAACCAAUAUGUAGUUGAAAAUUAAGCUCAGGGUCUGAGUUCUGGGAUGUUCACCAGUACCAAGGAGUCAGAAUGGAGGCCCUGUGUUAGAUGCUGCACAAAGAUGAAUAAGUGUGAACAGCUGUCAACUAUUCCAAAGUUGUAGCUGCUACAGCUGCUAUAAAAGGCAGCGAGUCUGAGGCUGCCCCAGGAAUCAGGAGGUGUUGUAUAAGAGGAGAACUUAGCUCUGAAUGGACUAGUAUACCUGAUCACCAGCAGCAGUUAAAAGGUAAACCACAUUUCUCAAGCUCCCUCAGGCUAGGUAUGUCCAGUGACUGAAUUCUUGCCAGUGGAAUAAGACAUAUUUGAUGUACUCCACUUUCGAGCCUGAUUCAGAAAGACUCUGAAACCUCCAUUCUCUCCCUUCUACUGGGCAUCUAUUUCCUGGAUGACCUUAAGACAAAGAUGGCAGAACCUUCAAAGUCUUGGACCCUGAAUGACUGCCUGGAGUAGAAGCUCCACUCUACUCUCAUGUUAGGAAUUGACAUGAGCAAGUAACACAUUUUAUUAUGGUAAGCCAGGUAUUUAGGGAGUUAUCUUACAGCUGUUGUUACUACAACUAAUAUAGAAAUUGGUGCUUUGAAAUGGUAACUACUACAAUGAGUAAGGCAUUAAACUACUUUUAUACAUAUAAUCUUUUAAACUAAAAGAACAAAAAAGAAUUUAUUUAAAUAGAAGCAUUAACAUAGCUGAGAUAGAAAAUUAAUAUGUACACAGGAAGAAAACAAACCUACAAAUGCAAAUUGCCUGAAAUGAUUCAUAAUUUAUGUUAAUAGAAAGCAAUUAAUAAAAAUUAUUUAUCACAAUAAUUUCUAAGCAAUGCACAUAUUUAAUUAUUUUAGUUUAAGGCCAUCAAGUAAUUAAUAAAUUAUUUUUAAUUAAAAUUAAUUACUUUUAAAUCUUGUUGAGUGUUUCUUUUAAAAAACGUUAUAGUACCCCUUGCUUGUGGCACGAUAUAGCCCUGUGAGCAGCCAAUCCAGGACAUACUAGGCAUUUUAGUAAGCCUGGUUUGUAUCCCCAAAGUUAAGACCCUGAAAUUGUGUUCAGACCCAUUCCAGCAGAAGAGAUGGCUUUAAUCUAGAACUUUGUGUAAUCUGGAGGGCCCCAGGCAACUGGUUGAGCAGUAGCAGUACAGGCUGAUGAUUGCUUUUGUGCUCUGUGGGAGGCAUAGCCCAAAAAGAGCUGGGUAACUCAGGUUUUCAGGAAAGUAAUUUUGGGACAAGGGUUGCCCGAACUCUUAGCAUGUAAUUAGUUAACCAUGCUCAAUAGCUCUGAGCAAGCCAGGUAUUUCCCAACUGAUAAAUGAUAAAACAUAGAUCAAGGUAUAAUUCCAUGCCUGCCCUAGAGUGAGCACAAUGAUGAUGAUAAUGAUGAUGAUGAUGGUAAUCAGGCUACUGGACUUAUCUGGUGAGGUUGACUUUCACCUUCUAAUAGCAGAGAGUCAAAACCUGAGUUUAAAUUGUGUUCCCUACUAGGCCAGGUCUGGUAGACCACCUUAAUCUCAAUGAUGACCUGAGAUAGUGGCUGGGAAGACAAUUAAGCACUUGAGUUUGAUGCAGGAGUGGUGGUUCACAAGGGUGAGAAUUACAGCACUGUUUAUUUUAGGAUAAACAACUGAUACAACUGAACUCUUUCCCUUACAGUGCUAGUUAAAUAAGUUGUUAUAGUGAAUGGAAUAGCAUAUGGUAGAUUAAAAGAAUGAGGUAGAUCUAUGUGUACUGACCUAGGAACAUCUCUAGAACAUGGUCUUAAUUAAGCGAGAAGCAAAUUUCAAGCAAUCUACAAAGUAAGAUCAUUAUGAAAAAGAGUUGAAUACUAGGAGAAAACCACCCAAAUUUGUUCAAUUCAGUCAACUUAGUUCAAUCUAAUUAUUUAAACAGUCCUUUAUUCCUUUUUUUUAAAAAAAAUUACCAAUCAUUCAGAUUUCUCCUCCGUUUCUCUUCUACUCCCCAAGGUGGUGAUUGUGUAUAUAGGGCAUUUGCCAGGUCCUUUUGCUGAGGAGGGGCAGUGGGCCUUGUGUCCCUACUGUGCUUGUGGGCCUCCCUUUAGUCCUUGCUAGUCUAUGUCAAGAUGAUUCCCUUAUAUUUCUGGCCACUGCUCACUCUACUAGAAUCUGUGGCUGAACUUGGCCUCUGGUGAAUUCUAGAUUUCUUCUUCCAGCUUAGUGAGGAACCUAUGGUCUUCAGUGGUGUGUUGAGUGCUAGGUGCCCCCUAGAAGUCUGGUUGUGAUCUUAAUUGGUUCCCAGUGAGGGAAAUCUGCCUUGUGGUUCCAAGCCACAGGGUCACCACUGGCCCUGUUGAGACAGCUACCAUGGGCUUGCCAGCCUGCACCACCACUUACUCUUCGUGGGCACAUGGAAACUUUUGAACUGUUAGGUAGCUUUGAUUUCACAUGUGAGCAGAAGGAGACGCUGAACUUAGAAUUUUCUUUUGCUUAACCAGGUUGCAACCAUUGAGAGUCCUGUUUGAGGAAGCAGGGAAAAGCCUCUUAAACUCUUGCAAUUCCAACAUAAUAGGAAUUGCAAUCAUUUACUGAAUAUAAAUAUUUGUUUCCCUUAUACCAAAUUUACAUUCUAUUGUUUUGUUUCUGUACCUUUCUGUAAAUGCAAUUUUUAAAAAACCCAUUCACAAUCUUAGUGUCAUCUUUUUGAAGAUAAUUUAAGUUGCAAUUAAAUUCAACCUGGAAGAAGACAAUUAAAUUUGAGAAGCAGGGAGAAAAUGAAUUGGGUUUUGAGGUGCUGUUGAUGGGGGCCACUGGCAGCAAAGGCCAGACUGAGGUAUCUUACCUGACUUUGUGGGCAACAGAAGCGCUGGCAGUUAAUAUCUUUGAAGAAAGACUGAAAAAGAAAAGAAGAAAUCCAAGGACAUCUCAUAUGGUAGGUGCCUGGACCACUCUUACUUUCUGUCUUCCUUCAGGGUUAAGCCUGAAUGUCCUGUCCCCAAGAAAACUUUACCUAACCCACUAGGAAUUUGGUUAGGUCUUCUAUUAGGUUCUUAUCCUAUCAUAGCAGAUAGCAUAAGUUUUAAAAUGGCUGUUUUAACUGUGUAUCUUCUUACUAGAAAGAAAACCCCAUGAGGGUCUGUCUUAUUCACCAUUGGAUCACUCUGCCUGGAAUAGUGCCUGGUCGAUAGUCAGCAUUUAGUAUACAUGUGUUGAAAAGAAGAAAGAAAGGAGGAAGAAAGAAAGGAAGGAAAGAGAGGAAACAAAGUAAUAUGCUUGUUGAAGGUGCCAAUAAAUAAUUGAUUGGGUUGGGGACUGAUAUGGUUUGGCUGUGUCCCCACCCAAAUCUCAUCUUGAAUUCCCAUGUUGUGGAAGGGAUCCAGUGGGAGGUAAUUGAAUCAUGGAGACAGGUCAUUCCCAUGCUUUUCUUGUAAUAGUGAAUAAGUCUCACGAGAUCUGAUGGUAUUAUAAGGGGGAGUUUCCCUG